CCUGCAACCAGAGCAGCCAGCAGAAGACCGACUACAAUCCCCACUAUUAGCUUUGCCUGGUCAUUAACCUUUUCGCUAUUGUCAUCUGAAGCAAAGAAGAAAAGUUAAUGAGGUAUUUUUCCUGCUGCAUAUCGGUACUCUUCAUUUCUCCCCAAGGAUGACUGCAUUAUGGCUCUGUUUCCAGUGAGAAACAACAGCUUCGUCUUGUAGCCAGCAGAUCUUCCCUGCCUUCACUUGCUCUACUCAAAAGACCUUUAUCAUCAGAAAUCAUUCAUGAAAGUACCACGUAGCUACAGCUACCACUUAACCUUCUCUUCGAUAAAUGAAAUACACUUAGUUUCUUCAAUCUCAGUACCUGGAAAAUGUUCCUUGAUUUUAAAUUGCACCUCCUAUGUACUAUCUGUUAGUGAAUAAAGUAAUAAGAAAUA